rnacentral:rRNA from 1 species
AUUGAACGCUGGCGGCAGGCUUAACACAUGCAAGUCGAGCGAGCGGCGGACGGGUGAGUAAUGUCUGGGCAACUGCCUGAUGGAGGGGUAUCACUGCUGGAAACGGUAGCUAAUACCGCAUACCCUCAGAUGUGCCCAGCUGGGCUUAGCUAGUCGGUGGGGUAAUGGCUCACCUAGGCGACGAUCCCUACCUGGUCUGAGAGGAUGACCAGCCACACGGGAACUGAGACACGGGCCAGACUCCUACGGGAGGCAGCAGUGGGGAAUAUUGCACAAUGGGCGCAAGCCUGAUGCAGCCAUGCCGCGUGUGUGAAGAAGGCCUUCGGGUUGUAAAGCACUUUCAGCGAGGAGGCGUUACUCGCAGAAGAAGCACCGGCUAACUCCGUGCCAGCAGCCGCGGUAAUUC